GCCUCGGUAGUGUAAUGGAUCAGCACGGCAGACCGGAUAUCAGUAAGCGCGGGUUCGAGUCUCGCCUGAGGUU
rfam:Dictyocaulus viviparus strain HannoverDv2000 D_viviparus-1.0_Cont143.17, whole genome shotgun sequence.